rnacentral:rRNA from 1 species
GAUGAACGCUAGCUACAGGCUUAACACAUGCAAGUCGAGGGGCAUCACAGUGUAGCAAUACACGGGUGGCGACCGGCGCACGGGUGCGUAACACGUAUCCAAUCUGCCCGUUACUCGGGGAUAGCCUUCUGAAAGGAAGAUUAAUACCCGAUGGCAUGUAUUUCCGGCAUCGGAGAUACAUUAAAGAUUUAUCGGUAACGGAUGAGGAUGCGUACGAUUAGCUGGUUGGCGGGGUAACGGCCCACCAAGGCUACGAUCGUUAGGGGUUCUGAGAGGAAGGUCCCCCACACUGGAACUGAGACACGGUCCAGACUCCUACGGGAGGCAGCAGUGAGGAAUAUUGGUCAAUGGAGGCAACUCUGAACCAGCCAAGUAGCGUGCAGGACGACGGCCCUAUGGGUUGUAAACUGCUUUUAUGCGGGGAUAAAUGAUCCUACGUGUAGGAUUUUGCAGGUACCGCAUGAAUAAGGACCGGCUAAUUCCGUG